AUGGUUAAGCUACUAAGAGCACACGGAGGAUGCCUAGGCGCUAGGAGCCGAUGAAGGACGUGGCGAACAACGAUACUGCCUCGGGGAGCUGUAAGCAAGCUUCGAUCCGGGGAUGUCCGAAUGGGGAAACCCAGCUGGUGUAAUAGCCAGUUACCCGUAUCUGAAUACAUAGGAUACGAGGAGGCAUACCCAGGGAACUGAAACAUCUAAGUACCUGGAGGAAGAGAAAACAAGAGUGAUUCCGUCAGUAGCGGCGAGCGAACGCGGAACAGCCUAAACCAGAGAGCUUGCUCUCUGGGGUUGUGGGACGUCUCACAUGGAGUUACAAAGGUUUAGAUUAGACGAACAGGUCUGGAAAGGCCGGCCAUAGAAGGUAAAAGCCCUGUAAUCGAAAAUGUGAACCCUCCGAGACGGAUCCCGAGUAGUGCGGGGCACGUGAAACCCCGUAUGAAUCCAGCAGGACCAUCUGCUAAGGCUAAAUACUCCCUAGCGACCGAUAGUGAAGCAGUACCGUGAGGGAAAGGUGAAAAGCACCCCGGAAGGGGAGUGAAAUAGAACCUGAAACCGUGUGCUUACAAGAAGUCAGAGCCCAAUCUAUGGGUGAUGGCGUGCCUUUUGUAGAAUGAACCGGCGAGUUACGUUCCCAUGCAAGGUUAAGGUGAGAAGCCGUAGCCGCAGCGAAAGCGAGUCUGAAUAGGGCGACUUAGUAUGUGGACGUAGACCCGAAACCGUGUGAUCUACCCCUGUCCAGGGUGAAGGUGCGGUAACACGCACUGGAGGCCCGAACCCACGUACGUUGAAAAGUGCGGGGAUGAGGUGGGGGUAGCGGAGAAAUUCCAAUCGAACUCGGAGAUAGCUGGUUCUCCCCGAAAUAGCUUUAGGGCUAGCCUCGGAAUGAAGAGUCGUGGAGGUAGAGCACUGAUUGGGUGCGGGGCCCGCAAGGGUUACCAAGCUCAGUCAAACUCCGAAUGCCAUAGACUUAUAUCCGGGAGUCAGACAGUGAGUGCUAAGAUCCAUUGUCAAAAGGGAAACAGCCCAGACCAUCAGCUAAGGUCCCCAAGUGUGUGUUAAGUGGGAAAGGAUGUGGAGUUGCACAGACAACCAGGAUGUUGGCUUAGAAGCAGCCACCAUUUAAAGAGUGCGUAAUAGCUCACUGGUCGAGUGACUCUGCGCCGAAAAUGUAACGGGGCUAAACACACCACCGAAGCUAUGGCUUGAUGCUUGCAUCAGGGGUAGGGGAGCGUUGUGUAUGCGUUGAAGGUGUACCGUAAGGAGCGCUGGAGAGUACACAAGUGAGAAUGCCGGUAUGAGUAACGAAAAGAUCAGUGAGAAUCUGAUCCGCCGAAAGCCCAAGGUUUCCUGAGGAAGGCUCGUCCGCUCAGGGUAAGUCGGGACCUAAGGCGAGGCCGAAAGGCGUAGUCGAAGGACAACAGGUUGAAAUUCCUGUACCACCGUAAACCGUUAUGAACGAUGGGGUGACGCAGGAGGGUAGUGACGCGGACUGAUGGAUGUCCGUCCAAGCAGUGAGGCUGAUGUGUAGGCAAAUCCGCACAUCGUUAAGGCUGGGCUGUGAUGGGGAGUGAAAAUUACAGUAGCGAAGGUCAUGAUCUCACACUGCCAAGAAAAGCCUCUAGUCAGGUGAAGGUGCCCGUACCGCAAACCGACACAGGUAGGCGAGAAGAGAAUUCUAAGGCGCGCGGAAGAACUCUCGUUAAGGAACUCGGCAAAAUGACCCCGUAACUUCGGGAGAAGGGGUGCCUCGGUAGGGUGAAUAGCCCGAGGGGGCCGCAGUGAAAAGGCCCAAGCGACUGUUUAGCAAAAACACAGGUCUGUGCGAAGCCGCAAGGCGAAGUAUACGGGCUGACGCCUGCCCGGUGCUGGAAGGUUAAGGGGAGCGGUUAGGAGUAAUCCGAAGCUGUGAACCGAAGCCCCAGUAAACGGCGGCCGUAACUAUAACGGUCCUAAGGUAGCGAAAUUCCUUGUCAGGUAAAUUCUGACCCGCACGAAUGGCGUAACGACUUGGGCGCUGUCUCAACGAGAGAUCCGGUGAAAUUUUAAUACCUGUGAAGAUGCAGGUUACCCGCGACAAGACGGAAAGACCCCAUGGAGCUUUACUGCAGCUUGAUAUUGGAUUUGGGUACGAUCUGUACAGGAUAGGUGGGAGCCUUUGAAGCAUGAGCGCCAGCUUGUGUGGAGGCGACGUUGGGAUACCACCCUGAUCGUAUCUAGGUUCUAACCUGGUACCGUGAUCCGGUACGGGGACAGUGUCAGGCGGGCAGUUUGACUGGGGCGGUCGCCUCCUAAAGAGUAACGGAGGCGCCCCAAGGUUCCCUCAGAAUGGUUGGAAAUCAUUCGAAGAGUGCAAAGGCAUAAGGGAGCUUGACUGCGAGACCUACAAGUCGAGCAGGGACGAAAGUCGGGCUUAGUGAUCCGGUGGUACCGCAUGGAAGGGCCAUCGCUCAACGGAUAAAAGCUACCCUGGGGAUAACAGGCUUAUCUCCCCCAAGAGUCCACAUCGACGGGGAGGUUUGGCACCUCGAUGUCGGCUCAUCGCAUCCUGGGGCUGAAGUAGGUCCCAAGGGUUGGGCUGUUCGCCCAUUAAAGCGGUACGCGAGCUGGGUUCAGAACGUCGUGAGACAGUUCGGUCCCUAUCUGUCGUGGGCGUAGGAAAUUUGAGAGGAGCUGUCCUUAGUACGAGAGGACCGGGAUGGACGUACCGCUGGUGCACCAGUUGUUCCGCCAGGAGCAUGGCUGGGUAGCUACGUACGGACGGGAUAAGCGCUGAAAGCAUCUAAGCGUGAAGCCCCCCUCAAGAUGAGAUUUCCCAGUAUGUAAGACCCCUUGAAGACGACGAGGUAGAUAGGUUGGAGGUGGAAGUGCAGUAAUGCAUGGAGCUGACCAAUACUAAUCGGUCGAGGGCUUAUCCUA
rnacentral:rRNA from 1 species